UCUUCUUCUUCUUCUUCUUCUUCGCUGAGCGAGUUCGCUUCGCUCGAACCCGGAAACGAUGUCGUCGUCGUCGCCGGUCGCGUUUCGUUUUCCUCCAUGCGCGAUCCCACGUCCUUCCUCCGCCGGGAGCACGGCGGCCCUCGCUCCCGUCCUCCGCCCAUGGCGCCGGAGCAGGGCACUGAGGAAGGGACGUCUCUCUCCGGUUGCGGCGAAUCCUUUCGACCUGUCUCCGCCGCCCAUCGACCACGACCUCGCGGACUCCAUGAUGGCGGUUGGGGGGAAGGUCUCGCUCGAUGGGGCUGUGGAGACUUACGACAACGAUGAUGAAGCGUUGGAUGCAGCUGAUAACGGCCUUGCGGUUGUGGAUUUGUCGCAUUUUGGACGAAUAAGAGUCAGUGGAGAAGACCGUGCCUCAUUUCUUCAUAAUCAGACCACAGCAAAUUUUGAAUGCCUUCAUGAAGGAGAGGGAUGUGACACAGUUUUUGUGACACCAACAGCACGGACAAUCGAUAUUGGCUACGCAUGGAUCAUGAAAAAUGCUGUCACUUUGGUGGUCUCUCCAGUCACCUGUCAAAGCAUAACGGAAAUGCUCACAAAGUACAUAUUUUUUGCUGACAAGGUAGAGAUCACAGAUAUCACCAAGCAGACAAGCUUCUUAGUCCUUUUGGGACCUAAGAGCGGUCAAGUUAUGGAGCAUCUGAAUUUGAAGGAUCUGGAUGGACAACCAUAUGGCUCACAUAAACAUUACAGUAUAAAUGGAAUGCCAGUAACGGUAGGAGUUGGAAAUCUUGUUUCUGAAGAAGGUUAUUCUAUGUUGACGUCGCCUGCUGCUGCCACAACUGUCUGGGAUAUCCUCUUAUCUCAUGGUGCCAUCCCAAUGGGAGCUAAUGCAUGGGAAAGGCUAAGGAUUCUGCGAGGAAGACCGGCACCUGGGAAGGAGCUUACCAAAGAGUUCAACAUUUUAGAAGCUGGUCUUUGGAACUCAAUAUCACUAGAUAAGGGAUGUUAUAAGGGGCAAGAGACGAUAUCUAGACUAAUAACUUAUGAUGGAGUCAAACAGAGCCUAUGGGGUGUUCAUCUAUCUGCACCAGCAAAACCUGAAAGCCCCAUCCUUGUUGAGGGGAAAAAGGUUGGAAAGCUGACAAGUUGCACAUCGACAAGGGAACUUGGGCAUUUUGGCCUGGGAUACAUUAAAAGACAAGCUGCUUCAGAAGGAAGCACCGUUCUUGUUGGAGAUGACAUUGUUGGGAGAGUAGUGAAUCUUCCCUAUCUUGCUAAGCAACGUCCACUGGGGAAGAAAUCAGGUUCCUGAGAUAGCAACACAUCUUCUAUGAUUCUUGGCAGCACAGAGUCUGAGGAAUUGCAUUCGUAUGAUUCUGCUGACACAUGUGUUAUGGUCCAAUUAGCUCUCUUUGUUUCCAAGGUUGGACUGAUGCGGAUGUGAUACUGAUGUAGCUUUUUUACAUCUACUUCAAAUGCAUUUUGUGAGUGGCAAAUGGUGAGAUAAUAUUGGACGAGAGAUACGCUGUACGAAUGUACGCUGACAAACUCAUGUGAACGUCAAAUUGUAACUGUCGGAUUAUGUAGGAAGCGUCGUUUUCGUGAGUUUUAUUCUCGCUGGUUGAAUUGCUUUCCCAGUUACCGGUUGGCUUGAAGCUGCAUUAUUUGGUUAAGAACUUACGGAGCUUUUGAUGUGAAGAAGCAUCAUCAGAAAG